CUGAUUAUUAACUAGGUGAAGGUAAUGGGAGCAUAUGGAAAAGGAUGCAUGUAGGGGGUGGGAAGCCAAACGUGUACAAGGCACUUUAAACAACAUGUGUCAAAAAACUGCAAUUAAUGAUACGAAAAUAUGUGGCGGACAUGAAAUUACACAUAGAGAAAAGGAAUGCAGCCCGGACAGCUGGAAAUAUUAAGGGGAUCGGGUACAAAUAGCAAG